rnacentral:tRNA from 2 species
UGGGAUGUAGCCAAGCGGUAAGGCAUCGGAUUUUGAUUCCGUGAUGCGCAGGUUCGAACCCUGCCAUCCCAACCA